rnacentral:rRNA from 1 species
GACGAACGCUGGCGGCGUGCCUAAUACAUGCAAGUAGAACGCUGAAGCGAGGAGCUUGCUCUUCUUGGAUGAGUUGCGAACGGGUGAGUAACGCGUAGGUAACCUGCCUUGAAGCGGGGGAUAACUAUUGGAAACGAUAGCUAAUACCGCAUAACAAUAGGUGACACAUGUCAUUUAUUUGAAAGGGGCAAUUGCUCCACUACAAGAUGGACUUGCGUUGUAUUAGCUAGUAGGUGAGGUAACGGCCCACCUAGGGGACGAUACAUAGCCGACCUGAGAGGGGUGUCGGCCACACUGGGACUUGGACACCGCCCAGACUCCUACGGGGGGCAACAGGAGGGAAACUUCGGCCAUGGGGGGAACCCUGGACGGGCAACGCCGCGGGAGGGAAGGAGGGUUUCGGAUCGGAAAGCUCUUUUGUAAGGCAAGAAAGAGUGUGGUAGUGGAAAGUUCACGCUUUGACGGUAGCUUACCAGAAAGGGACGGCUAACUACGUG